GGGCUUUGUUCAUUGUUGAAGGCAGUACGGUGAAAUAUUGUAGUUGUUAAUUUCUGUGUCAUUUUGGUGUCUUGUGGAGAGUUGUCUAUUGGCAAUCAUACCACAUUUUCUUUUAUAUAUAUACCUAUAUAUACUGGUUUACGUUUUUUUUAGUUGUAUUUCUAUUUUUUAUUUUCUUGUGUAUUGUCUAUUGCAAUUCUGUGAGAAUCAAUGUACUGAUUAUGCCUAUAAUGGGUCCUCUAAUGAAAAUAAAAA
rnacentral:lncRNA from 1 species